rnacentral:rRNA from 1 species
AUACAUGGGGUGCGAGCGUUAAUCGGAAUUACUGGGCGUAAAGAGUACGUAGGCGGUUGCUUAAGUCAGAUGUGAAAGCCCCGGGCUCAACCUGGGAACUGCAUUUGAAACUGAGUGACUAGAGUUUAAGAGAGGGGAGUAGAAUUCCGGGUGUAGCGGUGAAAUGCGUAGAGAUCCGGAGGAAUACCAGUGGCGAAGGCGGCUCCCUGGCUUAAAACUGACGCUGAGGUACGAAAGCGUGGGUAGCAAACAGGAUUAGAAACCCCGGUAGUCC